rnacentral:rRNA from 1 species
GACGAACGCUGGCGGCGUGCUUAACACAUGCAAGUCGAACGGAAAGGCCCUGCUUUUUUGGUGUUCUCGAUUGGCGAACGGGUGAGUAACACGUGAGUAACCUGCCCUUGACUUUGGUAUAACUUCAGGAAACUGGGGCUAAUACCGGAUAGGAGCUCCUGCUGCAUUGUGGGGGUUGGAAAGUUUCGGCGGUUGGGGAUGGACUCGCGGCUUAUCAGCUUGUUGGUUGGGUAGUGGCUUACCAAGGCUUUGACGGGUAGCCGGCAUGAGAGGGUGACCGGCGACAUUGGGACUGCGAUACGGACCAGUCUCCUACGGGAGGCAGCAGUGGGGAAUAUUGCACAAUGGGAGGAAGCCUGAUGCAGCAACGCUGCGUGCGGGAUGACGGCUUUCGGGGUGUAAAACGCUUUAGCCUGUGACGAAGCGUGAGUGACGGUAAUGGGUAAAGAAGCACCGGCUAACUACGUG